UAUAACCGUAAUGGCUACACGUCUGUUUUAUUUUACUCUCGUCUUUCAUUAAUUAUUAAAUAAUGCCUCUUGUCUUACAUUGUUCAAUGUUUUGAAUUCUUGAUGUUACUUCAACUUCUACUUUUUUUAUGUUCCUAAAGUAAAGUUACAUUGUUAAUUUGUAUUUUAUUAAAGAACUCAAAUCCAUUCACACGUUAAUUGUUCAACAAACAAUAAUCGCUGAACAUACAAACUGUAUACAGUAAUGCAACGAUCAUCUUUUCCUUAAUCAGUUACAUAGUAAAGGACAAAAGAUUAGUUCGUGUUGAAGGAGAACGUACGUUUCUAUGUAUAUAUAUAAUAACAUAUUAGGUAAGCAAUGUCUUUAAUAAAUUUUUUUCUCUAUACAACUUUCUUUUUUCGUAUUUUCUAGCGAAUUAAAUAUUGAAUAAACGUUCGUUUUUAUGUGUAUAAUAUCCAUGUGUACAGUGGUGUACCAAGAGUUUACACCAUUUUACUUCCUUAGCACCCCUCAAAAUCAAUUUUUCAGCAUUGAAUACUAAUUAGAUAUCUACCUAGUGUAAGGACACAAAUUUGUACACACUAAAAAUCAUUCAAAUAUGCCAUAAUGGUCUAAUCCCAUUCCAUUCUCCAUCAUUUCAAACUUCAACCUACAAUAAUUCUUCACCAUUCUUGCUUUUAAAAAUAUUUUUAACUUUAUACCUUAAGAAAACUCAAAAGCCAUACUACAAUCUGGUGUGUGGUUGCUAUGGUGUAUGUUUAGUCAAGUAUAGAAAAUAUAUGUUUUAGCUACUUAGAGAACUGAAUGCCUCAUGAAAUAUGUAGUCAAAAUGAUAAAAAUAUACAAUAAAAAAUAAAAUACAUAAAAGUUGCUAAUGUUGUGUUACAUAAUUAUUCUAAAUAUUUUCCAAUUGAUAUAAACUCUAACAUGAAGUUCCUUCAAAAUCUUAUAAGUGAUUCUGCUAAUGUUCCACCGCUCCUUUCCCUUAAAAACUUCUGAGUACCACCAUAUUCAGCCUGCUCUAUUGUUUCAUUUACUAUUCCUAAACGUUAUACUAAUUACAGUCCAAAUAAUCUAAUCAACUGUUAAGUGCACUCUACAGUGCGCCUAAUAAUACUUACCCUUCCUCUUGUUUUAAACUGAAUACCUAGCUUUGUUUCACUACUAUUGACUUUUUGUACUUUAUGUAAAUUUACCUACAAUAAUUGUACUUUGGCCCAAGCCUGUGUUUAAUAAAUAAAUUAAACUAAUAAUGAUGAACACCAUUUUAUUAAUUAUUGUUAAAUGACAUUUUAUUUACAUAUCACUGAUAUGUCAGUCUAAUUAUCUUUUAAAUUAUUAAUAAGGGGUUGAAAUGUCAUAUUUUUGAUUUGAUUACCAUUAUACAGGAUAAUUGUUUUAUGAUGAACCAGCAAUUUUCUCGAAGGAUUGUGAGUGAAUUUGAUUUCUGUUUCUGUUUUCAUCAUUAUGGAAUCAGUUAAGCUUUAUUUUAAAUCAUUUUUAAUUUUUUACCCUCUACUCCACAUUCCUUAAAUUUCUUAAAUAAGUUUAUGCUUGUUUUUAAAAUAGAACCCUCCUUUUUUAGCACAAAUUUGAGUACGAGAUAUUUCUUUAGAAAUUUUGUUAUACAUAACACUAAUAUCAGAUUUACCAUUUAUGAGUUAUAACCAUUUAAAGGUUGGAUUGGAAGAGUAGGGAAGAGUAAUAAAUUUCACAUCUAUUUUUAAAUGAUAAAUUGAUUACUCAAUAAUUAUUCCAUCAAGAAUUCAAAUUUAUUUUUUCCCAAGUGUGCAGUGCUAUAUAAUCAAGUUUUAAAUGAUGUUGAUUAUUUUUUUAUCCCUCACAAAUGUUUCUGAAGAAAAGCUUUAUUUAUAUCUACAUACUAAAACCCUUUAUUAUGUCACAUUAUUAUAUUUCACUACCUAAAUCUAGCUAAAUUAUUUUAAUUUACUUUAUUAAUUUUUGUAUUUUUUAUAGAUGGUGUACUUGAAUAAUAAUGCUCAAACAAUGGAAAACUUUGAUGUAACUGGAAGGAAAUAAUUAUACAUACAUAUACUUUAAAUUCAGUGGGUAUAUUGGUUAUUUGUAAUCAAUAGUAAAAAGUAAGUAUGAAUGCAUAUUAUGAAACAAUUUUUUUUACAUUUGCUAUUAAACAUUUCGGUACAUAGAUACAAUAAAGCAAAAAUAAAAAUAACCCCACAAAGUACAUUUACAUAGAAAAUAAUGUGGCUAUUUAUUGUUAUUUAUUGUAGAAAUAUUUAAAAUACAAUCUAUAUUAAUAAUUAAUUUAAAAUUUGAUUUUAUAAGUUUUAUAAAUUUGAUUUGUAUUGAUUAACUCAUUUGUGUUCGACUUUUCAAAACAAUUGCAUAAAUUAUGUAAUGAAUAUAUAAAUAUAUUAAAUAUCUUAUACUGUUCUACCAUUUCUCCAAAACACAUACUAUGUACAUCAUAUAUUCAUCCCCUUGCUGUUUUGCGUCAAAUGUUCUUUAUUCGGUUGGUCUCUCAGAGGGAUGACAUAGGCUGGGCAGCAACACUCCCUUGAUUUAAGCAUGUGUGAUUUUUUCCUCUGGAUCUAUCCUAAGGAUAAGAAUUUUAGAUAAGUUAUUGCUCCCAAAAUUGUUGGUAGAAAAGUUCUUCACAGAAAAAAAAUCUUAGUAUUUCACCAACUAUGUUUCAUACAUUUGCAUGGUUUUUCUCAGUUUUUUUUUUCGGAUUUUCAUAUUUGAUAAAGAAAUUCUCUAGAAAAUCGAAAAAUGGCUACCCUAAAGUACCUUCCCUCACCAAUUUCCUUUCAAAAAAGGUGCUAUACUUAAAAAUCAAAUCAAGAUUUCUGGUAGAAAAGUUGUUAGAUAAAAAAUAAAUAAUAAAAAAUCUUUGUAAAAUCAUAAGUUUCUAUGCUUAACUCAGAAUCUAAAAUAAUGUACUAAACUGAUUUCAAGAGUUUUAUAUUUACAUAUAAAUAAUUUGUAUAAACUUUAAAUUUGUAAUGUGAAAAUAUUGUUUCUAGGAGAAGAAGUCUAAUUUGAAACAUAUAAAACCACUGGCGCUCAAGACUUAAGACUUGGCCACAUCUGAAAAAAAAUCUGGUCAA
rnacentral:lncRNA from 1 species